CGGCGGACGGGUGAGUAACGCGUGGAUAACCUGCCUCACACAGGGGGAUAACAGUUAGAAAUGACUGCUAAUACCGCAUAAGCGCACGGUACCGCAUGGUACAGUGUGAAAAACUCCGGUGGUGUGAGAUGGAUCCGCGUCUGAUUAGGUAGUUGGUGGGGUAACGGCCUACCAAGCCGACGAUCGGUAGCCGGACUGAGAGGUUGAACGGCCACAUUGGGACUGAGACACGGCCCAG
rnacentral:rRNA from 1 species